rnacentral:rRNA from 1 species
UACGGGGGGGCAAGCGUUGUUCGGAAUUACUGGGCGUAAAGGGCUCGUAGGUGGCCAACUAAGUCAGACGUGAAAUCCCUCGGCUUAACCGGGGAACUGCGUCUGAUACUGGUAUGGCUAGAGUCCGGUAGGGGAGCAUGGAAUUCCUGGUGUAGCGGUGAAAUGCGCAGAUAUCAGGAGGAACACCAGUGGCGAAGGCGGUGCUCUGGGCCGGAACUGACGCUGAGGAGCGAAAGCGUGGGGAGCAAACAGG